AAAUCAUUGCAUUUAGCAGAAUGAAGUCAACACAUCUGGUUUUAGUAGCCUGCAUUCUUUUUUCACUUCUACAGCCGUGCUCAUCGAGGUCUUUACUUCCCUCGAACUUUGAUAAUCGGGAGAAAUUUACCUGUCCGAACAUCGACAACCCCCACUGUACGCCAGACAGGACAAAACGAUACAGAAAUGCAUGUGAAGCCUGGAAAGCGUACGAAGAAAAUGUCGUCACGUGCUAAAGACCAUAAUGAAUACCCACAGAUAUUAUUUCAAUCAAUCAAAGAAAAUCCAUAUUGAAUAUCAAUGUACUCUUUUCAAUGUUGUUGUACUUUGUUAUUUUUUUUAAUUUCACACUUGUUUUAAUUUAUUAAACUUUUUACAAUAAUGAAAAUAUUGUUUUGUCCUCUAAAUACAAAUAAUGACCUUUUAAGCAUACGUUUAUUUGC
rnacentral:sRNA from 1 species